UACAGAGGGGGCAAGCGUUGUUCGGAAUUACUGGGCGUAAAGCGUGCGCAGGCGGUUCGCCGUGUCCGAUGUGAAAGCCCCGGGCUUAACCCUGGGAAUGGCAUUGGAAACUGGCGGGCUUGAGUGUGGCAGAGGGGGGUGGAAUUCCAGCGUGUAGCAGUGAAAUGCGUAGAGAAUGUGGAGGAACACCGAUGGCGAAGGACAGCCC
rnacentral:rRNA from 1 species